rnacentral:rRNA from 1 species
UACGAAGGUGGCAAGCGUUACUCGGAAUUACUAGGCGUAAAGCGCAGGUAGGUGGCUUGGUAAGUCUGCUGUGGAAGCUCCUGGCUUAACUGGGAGAGGUCAGCAGAAACUGCCAAGCUUGAGUGUGGGAGAGGGUACUGGAAUUCCCGGUGUAGCGGUGAAAUGCGCAGAGAUCGGGAGGAACACCAAUGGCGAAAGCAGGUGCCUGGACCAUUACUGACACUAAGCUGCGAAAGCUAGGGGAGCAAACAGG